UAGGGAAUCUUCCACAAUGGACGCAAGUCUGAUGGAGCAACGCCGCGUGAGUGAAGAAGGUCUUCGGAUCGUAAAGCUCUGUUGUUGGUGAAGAAGGAUAGAGGCAGUAACUGGUCUUUAUUUGACGGUAAUCAACCAGAAAGUCACGGCUAACUACGUGCCAGCAGCCGCGGUAAUACGUAGGUGGCAAGCGUUGUCCGGAUUUAUUGGGCGUAAAGCGAGCGCAGGCGGAAUGAUAAGUCUGAUGUGAAAGCCCACGGCUCAACCGUGGAACUGCAUCGGAAACUGUCAUUCUUGAGUGCAGAAGAGGAGAGUGGAACUCCAUGUGUAGCGGUGGAAUGCGUAGAUAUAUGGAAGAACACCAGUGGCGAAGGCGGCUCUCUGGUCUGCAACUGACGCUGAGGCUCGAAAGCAUGGGUAGCGAACAGGAUUAGAUACCCUGGUAGUCCAUGCCGUAAACGAUGAGCGCUAGGUGUUGGGGACUUU
rnacentral:rRNA from 1 species